rnacentral:misc_RNA from 1 species
AUAAUUUUGUAAACAAUCUGAAAGCUGCAGAGAGCUAUUGAUUUCUAAUCUGCAGUCUAGUUAUAACAAUAUGAAUCCAUUUUCUUCAGAUUAGAACUGAAAGUGGACCGAUAUUGAAUUUUAAUGGGAACAAAUCUAGCUGGAACACAUUGAACAUUGAGUAACAUUGAGUUUGGACAAAGGUUUGAAUCCAAAUUUAAAUGGAGUGAAUUUGGACGCAAAGCAAAUGAAUAUGGAUUUAUUUGAAGAAAAUGAUGAUCUCGGGGGCAAUGAUGGAUGGGAAUUCAAGACUGCAGAAUCAGGAUCCAGGCCUGGAGAUGAGAAUAUUAAGGCACAAGUACAGUCUUGUGAUUUGUUAGAUUUUCAAUCCUUUAUUUUGCUUUCUGUUUGGUUUCCUAAAAACAUAAAAUUAAGAGGAAUCUUUUUAUCUUAAACUGAUAUAGUUUUGUUCUCUGGUUUUUCUGAGACUCAAAUUAACAAUGAAAUAUUAAUGAUUGGUUUUUUUGUAAUGUGAAUGUCACCAUUUUCCGAACAUUCAACUGUAUUGAGAACUUAUACUGUUCUCUCACUGAUUUGCAAAUUAUGAGGGACUAGAGUCUUCUGUAUUAUAAAGAUUGAGUAAAAGGCUGGUGAUGUCCUGGACAUUCAGGUGGAUAUUUUACUUUCUGAAUAUAACAAAUAUUUAUGUGUGUAUUUCAAAAUAAACUGUACACAUAUUUAUGUACACAUAUUUAAAUUGUAUUUGCAUUUCAAAAUAAACUUUUUAAGCUGUAUAAUUAGAUUGUAUUUAUCAAUUUCUGCACCAUUGGGUGCUUAACUUUUUCCACUGUGUGAGUGGAUGCAUGCCUUUGAAAUGGUUCACUUCCCUUAUUUCUGUUUGAUAUAUAAUUGCUUGAUGAGGACCAUUUGAACAUCUAUAUGCAUAACUGUUAAGAAUAUUCAUUUGGUUAUGGUUCUGACAUUUUGUAAUUUUUAGGAUGAUGAGAGAAUGCCAGAAA